AGGAUCAAUGUGGCCACGAGAUGCGACUGAAGACCCCGAGAGUCAUAACACACCCUACAAGAUAUACGCACGCUCAAGAUCAAGGAGGCCACUAAAAUUGCCCAUCUGGAUUAAAAACAAGUGAGUGUGCUACAAUCACAGCUGCGUCGUCAUGACAACGAAUAGCAGCGCUGGAGGACAACACUGUGAACAUCGGUCUCAGUGUGACACAACUCAUGAAGAACCUCCAUCAUCAUCAUAUCAUCCAGUGUCAAGUUAACAAUAAUAAAUAUGCAAUGGUCUGUUAGCCUUUCAAAAUAAAACUU